UACAGAGGAGCCAAGCGUUGUCCGGAUUGACUGGGCGUAAAGCGCACGCAGGCGGACGCGCGCGUGGGGUGUGAAAUCUGGCCGCUUAACGGCCAGGCGCCAUCCCAUACGGCGGGUCUGGAGGGCUGCAGAGGUCGAUGGAAUUGCCGGUGUAGUGGUGAAAUGCGUAGAGAUCGGCAGGAACACCCAGGGGGAAACCAGUCGACUGGGCAGCACCUGACGCUGAGGUGCGAGAGCGUGGGGAGCGAACCGG
rnacentral:rRNA from 1 species